ACUUAAGCAUAUCCAUUAAGCGGAGGAAAAGAAACUUAACAAGGAUUCCCCUAGUAACUUGCGAGUGAAGCGGGAAAAGCUCAAAUUUAAAAUCUGGCGGUCUUUGGCUGUCCGAGUUGUAAUCUAGAGAAGUGUUACCYGCGCUGGACCGUGUACAAGUCUCCUGGAAUGGAGCGUCAUAGAGGGUGAGAAUCCCGUCUCUGACACGGACUACCAGGGCUUUGUGGUAUGCUCUCAAAGAGUCGAGUUGUUUGGGAAUGCAGCUCAAAAUGGGUGGUAAAUUCCAUCUAAAGCUAAAUAUUGGCGAGAGACCGAUAGCGAACAAGUACCGUGAGGGAAAGAUGAAAAGAACUUUGGAAAGAGAGUUAAACAGUACGUGAAAUUGCUGAAAGGGAAACGCUUGAAGUCAGUCACGUUGAUCAGGGAUCAGCCUCGUUCUUGCGUGGUGUACUUUCUGGUUGACGGGUCAGCAUCAAUUUUGACCGCUGGAAAAAGGUUUAGGGAAUGUGGCAGCUUUGGCUGUGUUAUAGCCCUUUGUCAUAUACAGCGGUUGGGAUUGAGGAACUCAGCACGCCGCAAGGCCGGGUUUCGACCACGUUCGUGCUUAGGAUGCUGGCAUAAUGGCUUUAAGCGACCCGUCUUGAAACACGGACCAAGGAGUCUAACAUGCCUGCGAGUGUUUGGGUGGAAAACCCAAGCGCGUAAUGAAAGUAAAAGUUGAGAUCCCUGUCGUGGGGAGCAUCGACGCCCGGACCAGAACUUUUGGGACGGAUCCCCGGUAGAAGCAUGUAUUGUUGGGACCCGAAAGAUGGUGAACUAUGCCUGAAUAGGGUGAAACCAGAGGGAAACUCUGGUGGAGGCUCGUAGCCGAUUCUGACGUGCAAAUCGAUCGUCAAAUUUGGGUAUAGGGGCGAAAGACUAAUCGAACCAUCUAGUAGCUGGUUCCUGCCGAAGUUUCCCU
rnacentral:rRNA from 1 species